AAACAUAUAAACAUGUAUGACUUCUAAAAUCGUUAUCCUUCCGCGUAAAAUUGUUUCUACUAACUAAUUUUUUUAGUAUAGCAAUUACACUGUCAUGAUCGUGUGCAGGAUUGGACAAAACAAGAUGGCAGACGGCAUUUCCAAACAAAGAUCCAGUCAGGAGCGGACUUCCUGAAGCUUAAAAGUUGCAAAUGAAUGAAGUGUGUUCUAUUUUAUGUCUCCUACUAAAACCAUGGUUUUGACAAACCUAAAAGAGCACGUGGAGCAAGGAACUAUCAGUAAGCCGGAAGAGCCAGCUCGAAAAUCUUUAAGUGUUUGAGAAUUUCACCGCGCACAUGAAUCUAAAGUUCUGCCACACGUUAGAAGGAGCCUUGUUCUCGAAGAUCAACAUGUUGAAAAGUUUUCAUUUUGCAGAAGCAAAUACAUUUAUAUUGUAUAUACACAUGUAGACCAUGUUCGAUUCCCAACCACUUAACAUUUGUGAAAUCUGCAUGGAAUUAUUAAAACUGAGCAUGGUUUGACGUAUAAUAAUCUCUUCAGGCAUGAUGGUUUACAUUUCACAAAGCUGUUCAAUAACAAUAAAGACUAUAAGAUG